AUGAACGCUGGCGGCGUGCCUAAUACAUGCAAGUCGAGCGAACAGACGAGGAGCUUGCUCCUCUGACGUUAGCGGCGGACGGGUGAGUAACACGUGGAUAACCUACCUAUAAGACUGGGAUAACUUCGGGAAACCGGAGCUAAUACCGGAUAAUAUAUUGAACCGCAUGGUUCAAUAGUGAAAGACGGUUUUGCUGUCACUUAUAGAUGGAUCCGCGCCGCAUUAGCUAGUUGGUAAGGUAACGGCUUACCAAGGCGACGAUGCGUAGCCGACCUGAGAGGGUGAUCGGCCACACUGGAACUGAGACACGGUCCAGACUUCUACGGGAGGCAGCAGUAGGGAAUCUUCCGCAAUGGGCGAAAGCCUGACGGAGCAACGCCGCGUGAGUGAUGAAGGUCUUCGGAUCGUAAAACUCUGUUAUUAGGGAAGAACAAAUGUGUAAGUAACUAUGCACGUCUUGACGGUACCUAAUCAGAAAGCCACGGCUAACUACGUG
rnacentral:rRNA from 1 species